UCUUCCUUAUCAUUUCUCUAACUUUUUAAUUGUAUUUUCAGCCAUAUUUCCACUAUGCCUCCAUAAGUGGGUUUCAAUUGUGCGGACUUCCAGUUGCAUAUACUUCUUUCUUCAGCAAAGACAAUGCGAUUUUGAAUUUAGAGAGUCUUCUCAUGAACAAAGGCAGAGGUUGAGAGGCUUGAAGGACAAUUGCAAGUCAAAGACAUGGUCAUAGAGACCAUUAGUAGAACAGUGCGGACAUGCUUCAGAAUCUGAUUUUGAGAAACUUGAAGCAUUUUUUUAUCUUAUGUAAAGGAAAUUAAAAGAACAAAUUGUAGCUAUUUUUGCUGCUAGCACACAACUUAUUUUGUUACAAAGUUAUGCUAUUAGAUUUAAUUUAAGUUUUUUAUGGGGAGCGAGAUGAAUUACAAAGAAUAGUUAUUGGUA